rnacentral:rRNA from 1 species
UCGAGCGAACCUCGGGUUAGCGGCGAACGGGUGAGUAACACGUGGGCAACCUGCCCCGAGCUCUGGGAUAACCCCGGGAAACCGGGGCUAAUACCGGAUAUGACCCGAGAAGACAUCUUCUCGGGUGGAAAGUUUUUCGGCUCGGGAUGGGCCCGCGGCCUAUCAGCUUGUUGGUGGGGUAACGGCCUACCAAGGCGACGACGGGUAGCCGGCCUGAGAGGGCGACCGGCCACACUGGGACUGAGACACGGCCCAG